rnacentral:tRNA from 2 species
CGCUACGGACUUAAAAAAUCCGUCGACUUUAAAAAUCGUGAGGGUUCAAGUCCCUCUAUCCCCA